CAUUUGACCUUUCAAAGGUUCUCCAGCAGUAUUUAACUGAUGCAAAAGGAACACACUUGCAAUUUUCUACUUUUGACAUGACAGACCCUCCUCUUAGUUCACACAAUGUUCAAAAGGCACAAGUCCCUCGCUUCGGAACGCAAGAGAGCAUUACUUUCCCAAAGAGCUACACGGUUCAUACUGAAGGAUGAUAUGAGAAAUUUUCACUUUUUGUCAAAACUUGUACUCUCAGCGGGCCCUCUAAGACCAACUCCAGCAGUCAAACAUUCAAAAACGACUCACUUUGAGAUUGAAAUAUUUGAUGCUCAAACAAGGAAACAGAUAUGUAUUCUGGAUAAGGUGACACAAUCAUCUACUAUUCAUGAUGUUAAGCAAAAGUUUCACAAAGCAUGUCCAAAGUGGUACCCUUCUCGAGUUGGUCUGCAGCUAGAAUGUGGCGGGCCUUUUUUGAAGGACUACAUUACCAUUCAAAGUAUUGCAGCUUCCUCCAUUGUCACACUGUAUGCUACAGACCUAGGUCAACAAGUCAGUUGGACCACAGUGUUUUUGGCUGAAUACACAGGACCUCUGCUAAUAUACCUCCUCUUUUAUUUGAGGAUCCCAUGUAUAUAUGAUGGAAAAGAGAGUGCUAGAAGAUUACGCCACCCAGUGGUACACUUGGCUUGCUUCUGUCAUUGUAUACACUACAUCCGAUACCUUUUGGAAACCUUAUUUGUUCACAAAGUUUCUGCAGGACACACACCUUUGAAAAAUUUGAUAAUGAGUUGUGCCUUUUACUGGGGAUUUACUUCUUGGAUUGCCUACUACAUUAAUCAUCCACUAUAUACACCACCAUGUAUGUAGGGUUUCUUCUUAACUAACCGUAUACUAAAGGACCAACCUAAAAACUCUAUUCUAAAUGACAUACAUAAAGGAAUAAGUAAAAAAUGAAACAAUUCAUUUUAAAUUGCUUUCAUAUCAUAUUUCUUUAAAUGUUUAUGUAGGCCUACAAGACCAAUUUGACUCAUAUAUUUUUAUUUAUUUUGUUUCUACACGAACCACCAAAAAUAUUAGUAGGUUGUAAACCUCCAAAAAAACAGCUAAUAAAAUGAAAAAA
rnacentral:lncRNA from 1 species